rnacentral:rRNA from 1 species
GGUGAGCUACCCCGAGACAGCCUAUAUUAAUUUAGGGCUAACCCGUCUCUGUGGCAAAAGAGUGGGAAGAGCUCCGGGUAGAAGUGAAAGACCUACCGAACCUGGUGAUAGCUGGUUGACUGAGAAAUGGAUAGAAGUUCAGCCUCGCACACCCCAAACCAAAAAAUACUAUCACCAAGAUAUUAAGGGAAACGUACGAGAGUUAGUUAAAAGGGGUACAGCCCUUUUAACAAAGGAUACAACCUUUACAGGAGGAUAAAGAUCAUAAUGUAUAAGAUACACUGUUCUAGUGGGCCUGAAAGCAGCCACCUAAACAGAAAGCGUUAAAGCUCGGACAGAAGGAAGUUUAUUAUACUGAUAAAAAAUCUUAUUCCCCUAGCUAUAUCAGACCAACCCAUGCCUCCAUGGAAGAGAUUAUGCUAAAAUGAGUAAUAAGAAGACCCGCUCUUCUCCCAGCACAAGUGUAAACCAGAUCGGACUGACCACUGGAACUUAACGAACCCAACCCCAGAGGGUAGUGUGAUUAACAAAAAACUCAAGAAGGCCUCACAUAACUAAUCGUUAACCCCACACUGGAGUGCUAUUUUAAGGGAAAGACUAAAAGAAGGGGAAGGAACUCGGCAAACACAAGCCUCGCCUGUUUACCAAAAACAUCGCCUCCUGCAACUAAACUGAGUAUAGGAGGUCCAGCCUGCCCAGUGACUACAGGUUCAACGGCCGCGGUAUCUUGACCGUGCAAAGGUAGCGCAAUCACUUGUCUCUUAAAUAGAGACCUGUAUGAAUGGCUAGACGAGGGCUUAACUGUCUCCCCCUUCCAGUCAGUGAAAUUGAUCUAUCCGUGCAGAAGCGGGUAUAAAUAUACAAGACGAGAAGACCCUUUGGAGCUUAAGGUACAAAAUUCAGCCACGUUAAACAACUCUAUAAGAAGCAAGAACUUAGUGAUAAUGAAAUUUUACCUUCGGUUGGGGCGACCGCGGAGGAAAAACAAGCCUCCGAGUGGACUGGGCCGAAUCCCUGAAGCCAAUAGAGACAUCUAUAAGCCGCAGAACAUCUGACCAAAAAUGAUCCGGCUAAAAGCCGAUCAACGAACCAAGUUACCCAAGGGAUAACAGCGCAAUCCCCUCCCAGAGCCCAUAUCUACGAGGGGGUUUACGACCUCGAUGUUGGAUCAGGACAUCCUAAUGGUGC